rnacentral:misc_RNA from 1 species
GAUGAAGAACGCAGCGAAAUGCGAUAAGUAAUGUGAAUUGCAGAAUUCCGUGAAUCAUCGAAUCUUUGAACGCACAUUGCGCCCCCUGGUAUUCCGGGGGGCAUGCCUGUCCGAGCGUCAUUGCAACCUUCAAGCGCGGCUUGUGUGUUGGGUCUCAUCCCCCGUGGACGGGCCCGAAAGGCAGUGGCGGCGUCCCGACAUGGUGCCCGAGCGUAUGGGAAUCCUCUUCCGCUCGAAUCGGCCCAUGCGGCGCUGGUCGUAACCAAAUUUUUUACCGGUUGACCUCGGAUCAGGUAGGGAUACCCGCUGAACUUAAGCAUAUCAAUAAGCGGGGA